CCCUUAGAUGUCCUGGGCCGCACGCGCGCUACACUGAUGCAUGCAACGAGUUUAUAACCUUGGCCUGAAAGGUCUGGGUAAUCUUUUGAACGUGCAUCGUGAUAGGGAUAGAUUAUUGCAAUUGUUAAUCUUGAACGAGGAAUUCCUAGUAAACGCGAGUCAUCAGCUCGCAUUGAUUACGUCCCUGCCCUUUGUACACACCGCCCGUCGCACCUACCGAUUGAAUGGUCCGGUGAAAUCUCCGGACUGGCGUGAGUCGGAGCAAUCUGACAAACACCGGAAAGUUGAUUAAACCUUACCAUUUAGAGGAAGGUGAAGUCGUAACA
rnacentral:rRNA from 1 species